ACGAACGCUGGCGGCAUGCCUAACACAUGCCAGUCGAACGAGACCUUCGGGUCUAGUGGCGCACGGGUGCGUCACGCGUGGGAACCUGCCCUUAGGUUCGGAAUAACUCCCCGAAAGGGGUGCUAAUACCGGAUAAUGUCUUCGGACCAAAGAUUUAUCGCCUUUGGAUGGGCCCGCGUUGGAUUAGCUAGUUGGUAGGGUAAAAGCCUACCAAGGCGACGAUCCAUAGCUGGUCUGAGAGGAUGAUCAGCCACACUGGGACUGAGACACGGCCCAGACUCCUACGGGAGGCAGCAGUGGGGAAUAUUGGACAAUGGGCGAAAGCCUGAUCCAGCAAUGCCGCGUGAGUGAUGAAGGCCUUAGGGUUGUAAAGCUCUUUUACCCGGGAUGAUAAUGACAGUACCGGGAGAAUAAGCUCCGGCUAACUCCGUG
rnacentral:rRNA from 1 species